rnacentral:rRNA from 1 species
UACGUAGGGGGCUAGCGUUGUCCGGAUUUAUUGGGCGUAAAGAGCGUGUAUGCGGUUUGGUAGGUCCGCUGUGAAAACUCGAGGCUCAACCUCGAGACGCCGGUGGAAACCAUCAGGCUAGAGUCCGGAAGAGGAGAGUGGAAUUCCUGGUGUAGCGGUGAAAUGCGCAGAUAUCAGGAAGAACACCCGUGGCUAAGGCGGCUCUCUAGUACGGUACUGACGCUGAGACGCGAAAGCGUGGGGAGCGAACAGG